rnacentral:tRNA from 1 species
UUUCUGGCAGUCCAGUGAUUAGGACUCAGCACUUUCACUGCUGGGGCCCAGGUUCAAUCCCUAGUUGGGGAA